rnacentral:lncRNA from 1 species
AUCUCUCGCGGUCACUCGCUCGAUCUCCUCACUCGGCGCAGAUCGUUCUCUCGCAGUCGCUCGAUUCGAUCUCUCGCAGUCGCUUUGCUCGAUCUCUCGCAGUCACUCGCUCGCUCUCCUCACUCGGCGCAGAUCGUUCUCUCGCAGUUACUCGGAUCGAUCUAUCUCGAAGUUAUUCGGCGUUGAUCGAUCUCUCGCAGUCGCUCAGACCGAUCUCUCACGGUCACUCGACUCGCUCUCUCGCAGUCACUCGGCGCAGAUCGAUCUCUCGCAGUCGCUCAGAUUUCUCUCUCGCGGUCACUCGACUCGCACUCUCGCAAUCACUCGGCGCAGAUCAUUCUCGCGCAGUCACUUGGCUCGAUCUCUCGCGGUCACUCGAUUGCUCUCCUCACUCGGCGCAGAUCGUUCUCUCGUGACUCGACCGUUCUGUCGUCACUCGACCGUUUUGUCAUCACUCGACCGUUCUGUCAUCACUCGAUCGUUUUUUCGUCACUCGGCCUUUCUGUCAUCACUCGGCGCAGAUCGUUCUCUCGCGGUCGCUCGACUCGAUCUCUCGCGGUCACUCGGUGCAGAUCGUUCUCGCGCAGUCGCUUGGCUCGAUCUCUCGCGGUCACUCGCUCGAUCUCCUCACUCGGCGCAGAUCGUUCUCUCGC